GACGGGUGAGUACACGUAAGCAACCUACCCUAAAGACGAGGAUAACCAUUGGAAACAGUGGCUAAGACUGGAUAGGAAGAUAAAAGGCAUCUUGUAUCUUUUAAAAGACCUAGUAAUAGGUAUGCUUUAGGAGGGGCUUGCGCCAUAUUAGUUAGUUGGUAGGGUAAUGGCCUACCAAGACGAUGAUGUGUAGCUGGACUGAGAGGUUGAACAGCCACAUUGGGACUGAGACACGGCCCAAACUCCUACGGGAGGCAGCAGUAGGGAAUUUUCGGCAAUGGAGGAAACUCUGACCGAGCAACGCCGCGUGAAUGACGAAGUACUUCGGUAUGUAAAGUUCUUUUAUCGAGGAAGAAAAGCAAAUGGCGAACCAUUUGUUUGCCGGUACUUGAUGAAUAAGCCCCGGCUAAUUAUGUGCCAGCAGCCGCGGUAAGACAUAAGGGGCAAGUGUUAUCCGGAAUUAUUGGGCGUAAAGGGUGCGUAGGCGGUCUAGUAAGUCAGUGGUGUAAUGGCAACGCUUAACGUUGUCCGGCUAUUGAAACUGCUAAACUUGAGUUAGAUAGAGGCGAGUGGAAUUCCAUGUGUAGCGGUAAAAUGCGUAAAUAUAUGGAGGAACACCAGAGGCGUAGGCGGCUCGCUGGGUCUUAACUGACGCUGAGGCACGAAAGCGUGGGGAGCAAACAGGAUUAGAUACCCUGGUAGUCCCACGCCGUAAACGAUGAGUACUAAGUGUCGGGUAAAACCGGUACUGAAGUUAACACAUUAAGUACUCCGCCUGAGUAGUACGUACGCAAGUAUGAAACUUAAAGGAAUUGACGGGACUCCGCACAAGCGGUGGAUCAUGUUGUUUAAUUCGAAGAUACCCGAAAAACCUUACCAGGUCUUGACAUGUUUUUGCAAAAUGAUAGUAAUAUCGUGGAGGUUACCAGAAACACAGGUGGUGCAUGGUUGUCGUCAGCUCGUGUCGUGAGAUGUUAGGUUAAGUCCUAAAACGAGCGAAACCCUUAUCGUUAGUUGCCAGCACGUUAUGGUGGGGACUUUAACGAGACUGCCAAUGAUAAAUUGGAGGAAGGUGAGGAUCACGUCAAAUCAGCAUGCCCCUUAUGACCUGGGCUACAAACGUGAUACAAUGGCUGUUACAAAGGGUAGCUGAAACGCAAGUUCUUGGCCAAUCCCCAAAAACAGUCCCAGUCCGGAUUGAAGUCUGCAACUCGACUUCAUGAAGUUGGAAUCGCUAGUAAUCGCGAAUCAGCAUGUCGCGGUGAAUACGUUCUCGGGGUUUGUACACACCGCCCGUCAAACCACGAAAGUUGGCAAUACCCCAAAACGGUAGCCUAAC
rnacentral:rRNA from 1 species